rfam:Schistosoma mansoni strain Puerto Rico chromosome W, complete genome
AUCCAGCUGAUGAGUCCCAUAUAGGACGGAACGCAUGUCCUGAAC